rnacentral:tRNA from 1 species
GGGCGUGUAGUUCAGUGGUAGAACGUUCGCUUGGCAUGCGAAAGGCCGCGAGUUCAAUUCUCGCCACGUCCA